ensembl:miRNA
UUGAAGAAUACGUCUGGUUGAUCCAGUCCACUUAAUUCUGAGAAAAUCCACAGACUGGAUCGGGUCUUGGAUUUUAGCUGGAUUCAUUGACUGGGCUAUAUUUGUUAUA